rnacentral:rRNA from 1 species
CUAGCUUCAGCGAUGGAUCGGCCGAUUCGCGUAUCGAUGAAAAACGCAGCUAGCUGCGUUAUUUACCACGAAUUGCAGACGCUUAGAGUGGUGAA